rnacentral:rRNA from 1 species
CUAGCCGUAAACGAUGGAUACUAGGUGUUAGAGGUAUCGACCCCUCUAGUGCCGUAGCUAACGCAUUAAGUAUCCCGCCUGGGGAGUACGGCCGCAAGGUUGAAACUCAAAGGAAUUGACGGGGGCCCGCACAAGCGGUGGAGCAUGUGGAUUAAUUCGUCACUAACCGAAGAACCUUACCAGGGUUUGACAUCCGCUGUAAGUCCAUGAAAGUGGUACCCCCUGUAGCAAUACAGGCAGCGAGACAGGUGU